GCUUACGGCCAUACCACCCUGAACACGCCCGAUCUCGUCAGAUCUCGGAAGCUAAGCAGGGUCGGCCUGGUUAGUACUUGGAUGGGAGACCGCCUGGGAAUACCAGGUGCUGUAAGCU
ensembl:rRNA 5S_rRNA 5S ribosomal RNA